rnacentral:rRNA from 1 species
UACGUAGGGUGCGAGCGUUAAUCGGAAUUACUGGGCGUAAAGCGUGCGCAGGCGAUUUGCUAAGACAGGUGUGAAAUCCCCGGGCUUAACCUGGGAACUGCGCUUGUAACUGGCAAGCUAGAGUGUGGCAGAGGGGGGUGGAAUUCCACGUGUAGCAGUGAAAUGCGUAGAGAUGUGGAGGAACACCGAUGGCGAAGGCAGCCCCCUGGGCUAACACUGACGCUCAUGCACGAAAGCGUGGGGAGCAAACAGG